GAGGGUAUUGCUCAAAUGGUAGAGCACAUGCUUAGCGUGCAUGAGGUCCUGGGUUCAAUCCCCAGUGCCUCCC
rnacentral:tRNA from 1 species